rnacentral:tRNA from 1 species
GGUCGCAUAGUUUAAUGAAAACAGCAGGCUGCAAUCCUGAAGACACAUGUAAUGUUGAGGCCU